rnacentral:rRNA from 1 species
UACGGGGGGAGCAAGCGUUGUUCGGAUUUACUGGGCGUAAAGGGCGCGUAGGCGGCCACUGCAAGUCAGUUGUGAAAUCUCCGGGCUUAACUCGGAAAGGUCAACUGAUACUGCAGGGCUAGAGUGCAGAAGGGGCAACUGGAAUUCUCGGUGUAGCGGUGAAAUGCGUAGAUAUCGAGAGGAACACCUGCGGCGAAGGCGGGUUGCUGGGCUGACACUGACGCUGAGGUGCGAAAGCGUGGGGAGCAAACAGG